rnacentral:rRNA from 1 species
GAUUUCUGGCUUGAAACACUAAGCCGGCCACGGUUUCGUGUGUUAGUGCUUGGUGUUCUGGCCAUCCUUCCAAUCGCUGCGUACUUCUCUUCAUUGAUUAGUGCGUAGUAUUGGAUCUUUUACUUUGAAAAAAUUAGAGUGUUUAAAGCAGGCUUGCGCUAUGAAUACAUUAGCAUGGAAUAAUAAUUUAGGACUUUGCUUCUAUUUUAUUGGUUUCUAGGAGUAAAGUAAUGAUUGAUAGGGAUAGUUGGGGGUGCUAGUAUUCAUCGGCCAGAGGUGAAAUUCUUGGAUUCGAUGAAGACUAACUAAUGCGAAAGCAUU